ACUUCGAAGGUAUGUAGACCACCUGUAUACAUGUGCACAUGUGUGUGCGUACGCGUAUGUGAACAUGGGAAAAGGUAAGAUCUGAUAUUUGCGUUGACAACCUUUGAAGUUUGUAUGUGAAUGGGGAAAAUUCGCGAGCACUAUAUAAAGCAGUUCCCAAUGCUGUUUUCAUCCAAACAAAGCUUAAUACGUAUAUGUAUGGCAACCGCCUGAAGAAACACCUCAGCGUCCAGCAAGGACCCCUGUUCCAGUCACUCCUUCUCCAACUCCAAGGCCUGUCUCUAGCUCUCCUCCCAGUGAUCCUGCAGUGCAAGAUUCAUACGAAUCUAGUGAUGAAGACUACAUGCCUCCUGCUCCCACUCCACAGCGAGGUAGAGAUAUUCAAUGCACCAGUGACCAUAAAUCAAAUAAAGUAGUACUCUUGAUAGAUUGAACUCUUGAAUGUAUAUUAUAACAAUUCUAUGUAAAACCUACUGUGUAUAAAAU